AUUGAACGCUGGCGGCAUGCCUUACACAUGCAAGUCGAACGGCAGCAUGAUCUAGCUUGCUAGAUUGAUGGCGAGUGGCGAACGGGUGAGUAAUACAUCGGAACGUGCCCUGCAGUGGGGGAUAACUAGUCGAAAGAUUAGCUAAUACCGCAUACGACCUGAGGGUGAAAGUGGGGGACCGCAAGGCCUCAUGCUAUAGGAGCGGCCGAUGUCUGAUUAGCUAGUUGGUGAGGUAAAGGCUCACCAAGGCGACGAUCAGUAGCCGGUCUGAGGGGACGAUCAGCCACACUGGGACUGAGACACGGCCCAGACUCCUACGGGAGGCAGCAGUGGGGAAUUUUGGACAAUGGGCGAAAGCCUGAUCCAGCAAUGCCGCGUGUGUGAAGAAGGCCUUCGGGUUGUAAAGCACUUUUGUCCGGAAAGAAAUGGCUCUGGUUAAUACCUGGGGUCGAUGACGGUACCGGAAGAAUAAGGACCGGCUAACUACGUG
rnacentral:rRNA from 1 species